rnacentral:lncRNA from 1 species
CUGUACUUCAGUGAGAAGAAUGUCUUCUGAACCUGAAGGAGUUGCAAAAUAAUAAAAUUUAGGUGAAGGAAAAGUUCCUUCUCUUAAUUUCUGCCGUUGUUGUUUUUCUUUUCCAUCUGGUCGUAAAAUGAAGGUCCCAUUUUCUGGCUUUUGGCAGAGUGCAAGCUUGCUGAAAUUGUUCACGUUAUGUAGACUGUGUUUGUGUGAAAUGAUAAUAUCAUACCUAUAGUCUGCUGCAGGCUCAAAAGCAGCCUAUGCCUCCUGGACUGUUUUAUGCCUUUGCUUUUGUUACUACGCCCUUGUAAGUCUUCAGCAGGGAAAUGAAAUUACCCUAUACAGAAGAAACACCGUCCAGAAGAAACUUCAGGUGCUAGGGCCUGAAUUUUCACUGAAACCAAAGGCAGGUAUCUUACUGAUGUGAAGAAAGGGGCUUUAAUCUAUCCUGGUUUGUUUACUAAUGAAGGAGCGUGAAAGAGAUGCAUGUCCUUGUCUCUGAAGAGGUGAAGGAACAGCUAGUGCAAGGAACAUAAAAUUCAGUUAUGCUGAACUAACAGGUGCUUGGAGACGGCAACACAGAAUCACCUAGGUUGGAAGAGACCUCCAAGAUCACGUAGUCCAACCUCUGACAUACCACUAACAAGUCCUCCACUAAGCUGUAUCCCUAAGCUCCACACCUAAACAUCUUUUAAAGACCUCCAGGGAUGGCGGACUGAGUGAGGCGUGGGCGGACUGAGGCGCAGAGAAAGACCUGGAAAGACCAUGAGGAACCCACACUGGAAGAGUUGGUUAAAGAACCCUGGCAUCAGGAAGAAAGUUUCUCCUCUUCCCUACAGACCUGCAUCUUGGCUGUGGAGAAACCUCAUGAAGAGAGGCCUGCUUCUCAGCUGUGGAGAAACUUUUGGAGAAACUUGCUGCUCCAACUUCCAGUGGGCAGUCCUCUGUCUCAGAUCUGUCCCAGUUCAUCAUCUAACAUGUACUUAAACUGCCCU